rnacentral:rRNA from 1 species
GGAGGAAAGCAGGGGAUCGCAAGACCUUGCGCUUUUUGAGCGGCCGAUGCCUGAUUAGCUAGUUGGUAAGGUAAUGGCUUACCAAGGCAACGAUCAGUAGCUGGUCUGAGAGGACGACCAGCCACACUGGGACUGAGACACGGCCCAGACUCCUACGGGAGGCAGCAGUGGGGAAUUUUGGACAAUGGGCGAAAGCCUGAUCCAGCCAUGCCGCGUGAGUGAAGAAGGCCUUCGGGUUGUAAAGCUCUUUCGGUCGGGAAGAAAUAGUUGUGGCUAAUAUCCACAAUGAAUGACGGUACCGACAUAAGAAGCACCGGCUAACUACGUGCCAGCAGCCGCGGUAAUACGUAGGGUACAAGCGUUAAUCGGAAUUAUUGGGCGUAAAGGGUGCGCAGGCGGUUGUAUAAGUCAGAUGUGAAGUCCCUGGGCUUAACCUAGGAAUUGCGUUUGAAACUACAAAGCUAG